UGUAGACAUCGGGAUAUCCUGGUCUAGCACAUCCUGAUCCGAAAGACGUGACACCUGCCAAUUGCCACACUCCGUCUGCGCGGCGACAUUGCAAUGGCCCUCCAGAAUCACCCUUAAAAAACAUAUGAACUUAAUAAUCGCAAAAGGAAAGACAUUGAGCAUGGUAUGUGAUAAAUAAUUGAAACAGAUUAUUAAAACUUAAGAGUGAAAAUUUCGUGGAAUAAAUAGCAAUUCUGUAAAAAAAAAAAAAAAGGUUGACGAUUCGUCUCGAGUGAGCGUUUGUCGAAUCGAAUACCAAGUUGAAAGCAAUUGUAAUAGGAAGACGCGGAGAUUUCAAUCUAGUUGAGUGGAUUUUGACGACGUUCGCUACGUAUCUUAUGCAACGAUGAAAAUAGCCUUACGACUUCGAAUAACCUUAUCAAAGGAUCAUGAAAAUGCUUUUGAAUUCAAACGAAGGAAUCAUUAUUUUCAAAGUAAGAAAUUUGAUGAUUUUGACAAGUUGUUAAUGAAGUCAACGAUAGAUCCUCGAAGGAUUAAAAAACCAGUGAUGAGAUACGAAAAGUAUCUGUACGUAUUCUUAUUUCCCAGUGAGGUGCUUUUUUAAAUCAGAUUCUACACAUUGGAUACGUAGCAUCAAAUUUUUGUACAAAAGUACCGCGAGAUGAAAUGAUAUGAAAUUGAACAUAACUUAAAUUCCAACUUGAGAGGAACUUGGGAGUUAAAGUAAUACGAAAGUUAGUAAUUUACCACGCAACUUCCGGUCGAACCAUCAGUGUGACCAGCACAAAGAUGGCCGCGUCGGAGCGGUACUGAUUUUCCAUAAGCUUUCAUACAUAUUUCAAGAUCUAGCAAUGGCACUGAGGCUUCCAAAAGUGCAGUGGAAAGUGACUGAGAGGGGCCGUAUCGACCCCAGCCAGAAGCAACGCAUUGUCCAUUCUUGAGCUCCUCUUCCGGCUCCGGUAGUCUUGCCGAGCCACGUCCACCAGAGUCUAAUUCCCAUUCGCCGACCACCGCCGUCCAUAAUGCACCGAUUGACACCCUAUACCGAUAAUCUACUGAUAAUCUCAAAACUGGUUGCUAAGCUCUUAUAGUUGGAAUGAAAAGUGAGACCCACUUAUGAAUGCAAUGAGCAGCUGUGACGACCCAAGUGGGCUCAAUGAGAACACCGCCGCACCAGUGACCGAUAAAUCCUAACUUUGGAUGGAGGAGCUGCAGGGACACUUGCCAGGGCCAAGAGCCUCGUUUGCUCGGCUUUCCGUUGAAUAUCCGACCUGUCGUUCUUCCGGCGUCCUUUCCCUCCGCCACGGAGGAGGAAGUGACAUUUUUCACCGAUAGAAUCGCACGUGGCUGCCUAUGCGACGCUGCUGGACAUCCGCACGCUGUUAUUCAAAAACUCAAGUUUCCCGAUUCGAUGAUUUUUCUUUUUUAAGAUCUACUAUAUCUGACACAAAUGAAAUCUGAUAGAAACUAUAUUGGACGUUUAAUUCAAGAAAUAAAGAUGAUCUUUCAAAAGUUAAGAGAGCUUAAGAAGCUUCGAAAAAAAUUUGCAAUAAUUAGACAGACUUAAAUGAUUUUUAACUUGCGAAAGAAAGACGUCUAAGACUGUGAUCUAAUUGUGUCUAAAAGUGCACAUUCAUUGCAAGAUAAAAGUGACCUUUUCUCUAAUCGCGGAAGAUCUUACCAAAAAAUGAUUUUCCUGCACGAUCCUCAGGAUCGUGCAAUCAACAUCCGCGAGAAUGAAGAAAAGUACCGCCAGGCCACCGCGGAGAUUCAUUUCCAAGAAGAGACGCACACCAUGUACACAACUGUCUUCUGUCAACCCCGUACACUUUUACUAGCUCAUACUCUUCAUACUCCUUUAACAUUUAACUUUUACAAUGUACGCAAAUUCAAACUUCUCGUCUUUGAUUAAUCAAUUUUUAUCAUUUCUCGGUAACAUCGCGACGAUAUCGAACAGACACGCAUAUUUGGAGAAAAAAAGGAUGAAGGAAAUGCUUCAACGAAGACGUAUUUAUAAAAAUUUGCAAUAUUUGACGGAGGCAAGUAGCAACAGCACGAGUAAUCCUUGUGGCGGAUCGUUCACUAGAACGAGUAAAUCCUUCGAAGGAACUCACUUGGAAGAAAGUGAUCGUUGACGAUUCCCAUCGAAGAAGGGGGAUAUACUUACGAUCGCGACGAACCAGUGAAAACUGGCAGCUCUUAAACAGACGAAUAUCGCUCUCACUAACGAAAGUUACCUCUCUGCCGUCACUAUUUACUUAUCUUUCUCGUUCUUCUCAUACCAAUUAGAAACGUCCAUUUUUACGAAUCAUUACGUGCAGUAAAGUCCUCUGACCAGUGGGUUCCGUUUUUAUAAUACUAGUUAUUUAAUUCUCAGUUAGAAUAGAAACAUUUUUCAGUAAAAUUCAAUGAUUCUGUAUUUGAAAAAAGAAAGUCUUCAUGGAGGGGAAAAGAGGUGAAGUUUGAUGUUGAAAUUUUGAAAAAGACACUGUUUCGACUCUAUUCUCAUUCUAAUUAAUGAGAUGACCAGCGAUUGUAAUUCAAAUUUAAUUCUAUUCAGCCUGAUCGUAAUAAGUCAGACUCAACUUCAACGCGAUAUUUAAUUUAGUACUAAUUUUAAUUUCAUCUUAGACUUGAUACAUAUACUAUCUAAAAGAAACGAUAGAUUUGGGAUUGAAUAUUCAAGUUCCAAAUUAAAGAAUGAAAAUGUUUUCACAGCCUACUCUGGAUCUAGAAAGCUGAGACUUCUGUUAAAGAUGCUUUCUGUUACAGAUCUCCCUUUCAAUCUGUAACAUAUAAUCCGUUAUGAAUCAUUUAGUCGUAGUUUCUCGUAAUUACGCAUCAUCGAGGCAAAAAAAAGAACAAACGUUCUUUCUUUUUUUCUGCUUUUUUUUUGGGCUGACGUCAAAUUACCCGAUGCAGUAGCGUGAUUAUCAGCAAACUUGUUAAUCAUUCUUUCGCGAAGAACGGGUUCUCGCUGAGAAACACACGUACAGCUUGACUAGAUGAAAAAUAGAAGAAGAUAUCAGUUGAGCAACGCUGAGCAGCGAAGCUAGAGGACUCUUCAAAAAUUAAAUCAAGACAGGAAAAAGAGUUCAAAUUUUCUAGAGACGACAUUGAUGCCUUGGAAACAUACAGUUGCUAUAUUUGUUGAAAUAUACGUGACUCAAUAAUCUUGUAGAGUUGCUGUUAUCGAGGCCAUUUCCACAGCGCCAGCGAGGAAAGCGAGGAGGAAUGCAAUGUGAUGUCGAGAUAACUAUUUACAAGUUGAACACGUUUCGCGAGAACAUUUUUUUCACGCUGCUAAUUCGUUCGAUGGCAAUUUUCUAGUGUCAUAAAUUACGAAAUUCCACAAUGAGCGAGUUUUGGUUGAAACAAGACAAGAAGAAUGUGAACGAGAUUUCCUCUUUUCUCGAAAGAAAGCGACCCGAGUUAAUAGUAAAUAAAUACAGGAAGUGUUGUAUUGCACAAACAUAAGAAAUUAGAGAGAAGAAAGAAUCGCCAAGGGAAGAUGGAUUUGUGAAAUAGUGCAAGAGAACGCAUCAAGAUCAAGUUGUUUGUAUUUUCAGUAUCAAUCAGCUAUGACGUUGGUAUACGUCGCUGUACUAUUGGUGUGUAUAAGUGUGUAUUUUUAUAUAGCAAUGCAUCGUGAGUAAGCAAAUUAGCCUAAUUGAUACUGCGUUUCUCUCGAGAUCAAGCAGACUCGGGUGAAUCGUAGUUACAUGUAUACAUGUACAAUUAAUAAGCGUGCUGAACGUGUAAAAAGACGGAAUAGAUUGAAUCCAUAUAGGAGAUAAAAAUCGCUACAAAGUAUCUUAUAAAAUGUAAUUGACAAUACAAUGAUAUAUAGUCAAUCAGAACGUCUCCUAUUAAGCAAUAAAAAACAAAAAAUUGUACCUGUCAAUGUUGGACGAUUGCAAAUAUACUUUACACAGGUAUACAUACAUACCUAUGUGUUGAUAAAAAAUUUCCAAAGAUGACAAAUGCUCGAAUCUUUUUUCUCUUCGAAGACGUUUCCAAAGAUCGUUUCAACUCGUGGAGAUGCCGAUAAUAAACAUCCGCAAGAAAAUAUCGAAUGAACAUUGACAAAGUUUCUCACCUGUUGCAAUCAUUCAGCAUUUUUUUUUGAAAUUGCGUUUGAUCAUCGAAAGACCAAGCAAAAAGGAAAAAGGAAACGACAAGAAAGAAAAUCGAAAUACCCGCGCGUUCAACUGUGUGUCGUGGAACAACGAACAGUUCGACCUCUCUAUUAAUUCCACUGCAUCAGUAAAUCGGUAUACAAUUGAUCGAUGUGCGUAAGUGAAUAAACGAGUGUAUUUACAAUAUUGAUAGAGACACUAUUUAUAGACGUCGACAAAUUUUAACAAACAGUUUCUCGUGCUCUUUCAGAUUUUAAUCCACGUUUCAAUUACGACUUUAAUCCUCGACGACUAGUGAUUGUAACAGCAUUGCAGGGAAACGAUCACGUUGUAGUUACGAAUCAACGAAUUGCAUAAUAAAGGUAAUCCCAAGCGGACAACGCAAGAAGACGCGAGGAGUCUCAAGGUUUAUUGCUCUUCACAAUUCUUUCCAUUCAAUUCAAAUCCAUCGAAGAUGAGGAAAACCUUCAAAUUUGUAACGCGACAUUUCCCUUUACAGACGAUUGCUUUUUCUUUUUUUAGAACUGUUCUUUAUUGUCUGAUUAUUGUUUCGCUUCGCACAACGUUCCAGCAGUCAAUUCACUUGCCUCUUUCGAAAAAAUUAAAAGCACACGAUCGAAGGGUGGGAGAGAGCAACUUUUCAAGAGAAAUUUUCAUGAUCCGUUUGGGUCGUGAUUAUUUAAAUUAUGCGUGCUCGUCAUUUCUUAUCGUCUCUUCGUCUAGAUACACAUGCGUGCGUAAUCCUAAGAGAUCGUUAUCGUUAGUACGUUGUACAAAGGUAACGAAGCGGAGGAACAUUGUCAAACGAUAUCUCAUUGUCAGCUACAUCCUAAAAAUAUAUAUUCCUUGCGCAAAGCUUCUUUUUCUCUCGUUUCGAAUCCUGUCCUCGUCAAUACAUCGUUUUACGUUUGUACACGAAGCACGCGAAGUACGUUUUAACCCUUUCAUAGGAACGAGAAUUAUCCUUCCAUGUCAAUCAAGAUCUACCCUUGCUACAUGGAUGAAGCAAUAUGAAAAUAUCGAUAUCCCCGUUUUUUUAUAAAAUUAUAUUACAUUUAAAUAUCGUUAAAUAUCGUUUCAAUGAAAUACCUCCAAUGCGAGCAGCGCGUGGUAGCUCGAUCAACUCAAUUUGUAAAAAAAUAAAUAAAUUGACUUUACUAGGGUAAAUUUAUACAUAUACAUACAUACAUAAAUGCAUUCAUACAUACAUACAUACAUAUAUACGUCCUGUUCAAUAUUCGUAUUGAAAUUUUUUUACUUUUUCGUGAAAUUCAAAUUGUGCCUACGAAAGGGUUAAUCUUUCCCACGAUCAAUUACAUUAUACACGAUAUAUUGAUGUUAAUCGGGUCGUGACGCAGUGUAAAAUUUAUCGUAAUACAUAGUCACAAGGAAGAUCGUCGUAUCGUGAGAUAGACUUACACUGCUCAAAACAAUUAUCGUACGAUAUUGGAAUUAACAAAUCUUUGUAAUUACGCCAUUUAAAUUUCAUAAACCUAGAUAUUAAGAAGAAACAAAAUAUACGUAUACGUACGUGUGUAUGUACAUAUUUGUUUACUGUAUAUUAGUCUACGCAAAUGUAAUAAAUGUAUGUAUACGAUAUAUAUGUAUAUGUAUUCGUUUUCCUUACAUUGAUAUAUACAUUACAGUAUUUUAUAAUAUUUUGAUUAAUAGUUUGAUUUGAUUGGUUACAUAGGUUUUGAGCUUGUGUUUCUUGAUGGCGUGUAACGAAUGAUUUGAAAUUGUUCUGAGCAGUGUAUAUAAAAGGGUAAGAUACUGUGACAAUAAAAUAUUCUACAAUAUCUUACUUACAAACAUGUAUUCCGCAUCAAUCGCGUAAUUUUGACGGACAUAUGUGAGCAAUUAAUAUUUUCAUAACACCAAGUAAAAAGUCG